rnacentral:tRNA from 1 species
GGGCUCAUAGCUCAGUUGGUAGAGCGCUACCCUUGCACGGUAGAGGCCGUGGGUUCGAAUCCCGCUGAGUCCA